ensembl:lncRNA
AAAUGAGCAGUGCUGUGAUACUCUCCUGGAUCUGAUCUCUCCACUGGGACCCUCAGGACUGACGCAGCGACCCCGCUUAAGCCACCAGCUUUCUGUCAGGUUUCUAUGAGUCUGUGCUUGUGGACUUUGAUUUCUAAUAGUCUGAAAGCAUUUUUCUGUGAGUCCAACCAUCUUGAAACUGGUGUCUGGCAACUGUGCAGGCAUUUGAGCAGGUCCAGAGAAGGAGACAGAAAAUGGAGAGGCCGAGCAACAUCACUGACCAUAUACAGAGAGAGCUGUGAAAUCCCAUCAUGAAUAUUUAUGAAGACGUGACCCGGGGCAGGAUGUGGGGCGAGUGCUAUCCCAGCAUGCCCUGCUGUGAGAGAAGCUGAUCAGAACAUCUUUAUUCUGAGCUGCAAAAUGGUGACUGGUCCUCGUCGACGCUUCCAAGAACUUGGAAAGACAAUGGAUAUGCUGAGAGCACAAACACUAGAGGAGAUGAUUCUGCUGAGCUCGUCUGCUUAUGGGUCAGAGUCAAGUCAGGCCUUGAGG